ACCUGGGAAAUAUCUCUGUCCAUAGAGCAUGAGAUUCUUAAUCUCAGGGUUGUGGGUUCGAGUCCCACGUUGGGCA